GAACGCACAUUGCGCCCGCCAGUAUUCUGGCGGGCAUGCCUGUUCGAGCGUCAUUUCAACCAUCAAGCCCCUGUGCUUGUGUUGGAGCCCUGCGGCUGCCGCAGCCUCCCAAACCCAGUGGCGGGCUCGUCGUCGUACCGAGUGCAGUAAAUUUACCACGCUCAGGGCACGCGACGGGUGACCGGCCGUAAAAAACCCCCCCUUCUCAAGGUUGACCUCGGAUCAGGUAGGAAUACCCGCUGAACUUAAG
rnacentral:misc_RNA from 1 species